rnacentral:rRNA from 1 species
AGAGAGAGACAUGCGCGCAUAUCAAUAAGCGGAGGAAAAGAAACUAACAAGGAUUCCCUUAGUAACAGCGAGUGAAGCGGGAAGAGCUCAAAUUUGAAAUCUUCAAGGUUUUACCUUGACGAAUUGUAGUUUAAAGAAGUGUUUUCUGUUGGAGUUUUGGUAAAAGUUCUUUGGAAUAGGACAUCAUAGAGGGUGAGAAUCCCGUAUUUGACCAUUUCUUCCAGCUGUGUGAUACACUUUCAAGGAGUCGGAUUGUUGGGGAAUGCAGUCCAAAAUGGGUGGUAAAUUUCAUCUAAAGCUAAAUAUUGGCGAGAGACCGAUAGCGAACAAGUACCGUGAGGGAAAGAUGAAAAGAACUUUGAAAAGAGAGUUAAACAGUACGUGAAAUUGUCAAAAGGGAAGCGUUUGACACCAGUGUUGUUUUCUCGAAAAUCAAUUAAAAAAGGCCGGAUUUUGUGUUGUAUUGACCUUAAAAGCUUUCUUCACUCUUUUCUUGUCUUUUUAAUGCACUUUUCGGUUAACAAGUCAACAUCAAUUUCUUUUGUUGUAAAAGGAGUACGAUUGGAAGGUGGCUUUCACUUUCGGAUGAAAGUGUUUAUAGCCUUGUGACUUCUGCAAUCGGAGAGAUUGAGGUCUGCAGCGUAGAUCCUUCGGGGUUAGAUAGCAUUUGUGCUAAGUUAUAGCCUUUCAUAGACAACUUGUUGACUAUGAUCAGUCAUGUAGCUUACUCGCUUAUGCUAUUUUACCUACGCUUAGGAUGUUGACAGCAGUAUAGACUGU